rnacentral:rRNA from 1 species
AUUGAACGCUGGCGGCAUGCCUUACACAUGCAAGUCGAACGGUAACAGGUUAAGCUGACGAGUGGCGAACGGGUGAGUAAUGCAUCGGAACGUGCCCAGUCGUGGGGGGAUAACGUAGCGAAAGCUACGCUAAUACCGCAUACGAUCUAUGGAUGAAAGCGGGGGAUCGCAAGACCUCGCGCGAUUGGAGCGGCCGAUAUCAGAUUAGGUAGUUGGUGGGGGUAAAGGCCCACCAAGCCGACGAUCUGUAGCUGGUCUGAGAGGACGACCAGCCACACUGGGACUGAGACACGGGCCCAGACUCCUACGGGAGGCAGCAGUGGGGAAUUUUGGACAAUGGGCGCAAGCCUGAUCCAGC